GUUGUAUGGUUAAGUGACUAAGCGUACACGGUGGAUGCCUUGGCAGUCAGAGGCGAUGAAAGACGUAGUAACUUGCGAUAAGCCCAGAUUAGGUAGUAACAACCAUUUGAGUCUGGGAUUUCUGAAUGGGGAAACCCACGUGCAUAAGCACGUAUCCUUACCUGAAUACAUAGGGUAAGGAGGCGAACCGGGGGAACUGAAACAUCUAAGUACCCCGAGGAAAAGAAAUCAACCGAGAUUCCGAAAGUAGCGGCGAGCGAAAUUGGACUAGCCCUUAAGCUUUACACGUGUUAGACGAACGGUCUGGAAAGUCCGACGAUACAGGGUGAUAGUCCCGUAGUUGACGACGUGUGUUCAGUGAAAUCGAGUAGGGCGGGACACGUGAUAUCCUGUCUGAAUAUGGGGGACCAUCCUCCAAGGCUAAAUACUACUGACUGACCGAUAGUGAACCAGUACCGUGAGGGAAAGGCGAAAAGAACCCCUGUGAGGGGAGUGAAAUAGAACCUGAAACCGUGUACGUACAAGCAGUAGGAGCAGGCUUUGUCCUGUGACUGCGUACCUUUUGUAUAAUGGGUCAGCGACUUAUAUUCAGUGGCAAGGUUAACCAUCUAGGGGAGCCGUAGGGAAACCGAGUCUUAACUGGGCGUUCAGUCUCUGGAUAUAGACCCGAAACCAGGUGAUCUAGCCAUGGGCAGGUUGAAGGUUGAGUAACAUCAACUGGAGGACCGAACCGACUAAUGUUGAAAAAUUAGCGGAUGACUUGUGGCUAGGGGUGAAAGGCCAAUCAAACCUGGAGAUAGCUGGUUCUCCCCGAAAGCUAUUUAGGUAGCGCCUCGGACGAAUACUACUGGGGGUAGAGCACUGUUAAGGCUAGGGGGUCAUCCCGACUUACCAACCCUUUGCAAACUCCGAAUACCAGUAAGUACUAUCCGGGAGACACACGGCGGGUGCUAACGUCCGUCGUGGAGAGGGAAACAACCCAGACCGCCAGCUAAGGUCCCAAAUUACUACUAAGUGGGAAACGAUGUGGGAAGGCUCAGACAGCCAGGAUGUUGGCUUAGAAGCAGCCAUCAUUUAAAGAAAGCGUAAUAGCUCACUGGUCGAGUCGGCCUGCGCGGAAGAUGUAACGGGGCUAAGUAGUAAACCGAAGCUGCGGCAAUGUGCUUUUGCACAUUGGGUAGGGGAGCGUUCUGUAAGCGGUUGAAGGUGUGUGGUAACGCAUGCUGGACGUAUCAGAAGUGCGAAUGCUGACAUGAGUAACGAUAAAGGGGGUGAAAAACCUCCUCGCCGGAAGACCAAGGGUUCCUGUCCAACGUUAAUCGGGGCAGGGUAAGUCGACCCCUAAGGCGAGGCCGAAAGGCGUAGUCGAUGGGAAACGGGUUAAUAUUCCCGUACUUCUUACAAUUGCGAUGGGGGACGGAGAAGGCUAGGUGGGCCUGGCGACGGUUGUCCAGGUUCAAGUGCGUAGGCUUGAGAGUUAGGUAAAUCCGGCUCUUUUUAAGGCUGAGACACGACGUCGAGCCACUACGGUGGUGAAGUCAUUGAUGCCAUGCUUCCAGGAAAAGCCUCUAAGCUUCAGAUUGUAAGGAAUCGUACCCCAAACCGACACAGGUGGUCGGGUAGAGAAUACCAAGGCGCUUGAGAGAACUCGGGUGAAGGAACUAGGCAAAAUGGUACCGUAACUUCGGGAGAAGGUACGCUCUCGACGGUGAAGUCCCUCGCGGAUGGAGCUAUUGAGAGUCGCAGAUACCAGGUGGCUGCAACUGUUUAUUAAAAACACAGCACUGUGCAAAAUCGUAAGAUGACGUAUACGGUGUGACGCCUGCCCGGUGCCGGAAGGUUAAUUGAUGGGGUUAGACUUCGGUCGAAGCUCUUGAUCGAAGCCCCGGUAAACGGCGGCCGUAACUAUAACGGUCCUAAGGUAGCGAAAUUCCUUGUCGGGUAAGUUCCGACCUGCACGAAUGGCGUAAUGAUGGCCACGCUGUCUCCACCCGAGACUCAGUGAAAUUGAAAUCGCUGUGAAGAUGCAGUGUACCCGCGGCUAGACGGAAAGACCCCGUGAACCUUUACUACAGCUUGGCACUGAACAUUGACCCUACAUGUGUAGGAUAGGUGGGAGGCUUUGAAGCACGUACGCCAGUAUGUGUGGAGCCGUCCUUGAAAUACCACCCUUGUAGUGUUGAUGUUCUAACGUCGACCCCUUAUCGGGGUUGCGGACAGUGCCUGGUGGGUAGUUUGACUGGGGCGGUCUCCUCCCAAAGAGUAACGGAGGAGCACGAAGGUGGGCUAAUCACGGUUGGACAUCGUGAGGUUAGUGCAAUGGCAUAAGCCCGCUUGACUGCGAGAAUGACAAUUCGAGCAGGUGCGAAAGCAGGUCAUAGUGAUCCGGUGGUUCUGAAUGGAAGGGCCAUCGCUCAACGGAUAAAAGGUACUCCGGGGAUAACAGGCUGAUACCGCCCAAGAGUUCAUAUCGACGGCGGUGUUUGGCACCUCGAUGUCGGCUCAUCACAUCCUGGGGCUGAAGUCGGUCCCAAGGGUAUGGCUGUUCGCCAUUUAAAGUGGUACGCGAGCUGGGUUUAGAACGUCGUGAGACAGUUCGGUCCCUAUCUGCCGUGGGCGUUGGAAGAUUGAAGGGGGCUGCUCCUAGUACGAGAGGACCGGAGUGGACGAACCUCUGGUGUUCGGGUUGUGUCGCCAGACGCAUUGCCCGGUAGCUAAGUUCGGAAUCGAUAACCGCUGAAAGCAUCUAAGCGGGAAGCGAGCCCUGAGAUGAGUCUUCCCUGAUACUUUAAGUAUCCUAAAGGGUUGUCGGAGACUACGACGUUGAUAGGUCAGGUGUGUAAGUGCUGUGAGGCAUUGAGCUAACUGAUACUAAUUGCCCGUGAGGCUUAACCAUACAACACCCAAGGGGUUU
rnacentral:rRNA from 1 species